GACGAACCGUACGAACGUUAUUCGGAAUCACUGGGCUUAAAGGGCGCGUAGGCGGCGCGACAAGUUGGGGGUGAAAUCCCUCGGCUCAACCGAGGAACUGCGCCCAAAACUGUCGUGCUCGAGUGAGACAGAGGUGAGCGGAACUUAGGGUGGAGCGGUGAAAUGCGUUGAUAUCCUAAGGAACACCGGUGGCGAAAGCGGCUCACUGGGUCUCUUCUGACGCUGAGGCACGAAAGCUAGGGUAGCGAACGGG
rnacentral:rRNA from 1 species